UACGUAGGGUGCGAGCGUUGUCCGGAAUUAUUGGGCGUAAAGGGCUCGUAGGCGGUUUGUCGCGUCGGGAGUGAAAACCAGGUGCUUAACACCUGGCUUGCUUUCGAUACGGGCAGACUAGAGGUAUUCAGGGGAGAACGGAAUUCCUGGUGUAGCGGUGAAAUGACGCAGAUAUCAGGAGGAACACCGGUGGCGAAGGCGGGUCUCUGGGCCGAUACUGACGCUGAGGAGCGAAAGCCAGGGGAGCAAACGGG
rnacentral:rRNA from 1 species